UACGUAGGGUGCGAGCGUUGUCCGGAAUUACUGGGCGUAAAGAGCUCGUAGGUGGUUUGUCGCGUUGUUCGUGAAAACUCACAGCUCAACUGUGGGCGUGCGGGCGAUACGGGCAGACUAGAGUACUGCAGGGGAGACUGGAAUUCCUGGUGUAGCGGUGAAAUGCGUAGAUAUCUGGAGGAACACCGGUGGCGAAGGCGGCAUCCUGGACCGGCAUUGACGCUGAGGCGCGAAAGCUAGGGGAGCAAACGGG
rnacentral:rRNA from 1 species